CCUACGGGAGGCAGCAGUGGGGAAUAUUGGACAAUGGGGGCAACCCUGAUCCAGCCAUGCCGCGUGUGUGAAGAAGGCCCUCGGGUUGUAAAGCACUUUCAGUGAGGAAGAACGCCUGGUGGUUAAUACCCAUCAGGAAAGACAUCACUCACAGAAGAAGCACCGGCUAACUCCGUGCCAGCAGCCGCGGUAAUACGGAGGGUGCGAGCGUUAAUCGGAAUUACUGGGCGUAAAGCGCGCGUAGGUGGCUUGAUAAGCCGGUUGUGAAAGCCCCGGGCUCAACCUGGGAACGGCAUCCGGAACUGUCAAGGUAGAGUGCAGGAGAGGAAGGUAGAAUUCCCGGUGUAGCGGUGAAAUGCGUAGAGAUCGGGAGGAAUACCAGUGGCGAAGGCGGCCUUCUGGACUGACACUGACACUGAGGUGCGAAAGCGUGGGUAGCAAACAGGAUUAGAUACCCCAGUAGUC
rnacentral:rRNA from 1 species